rnacentral:rRNA from 1 species
AUGCACGCUAGCUACAGGCUUAACACAUGCAAGUCGAGGGGAAACGACAUCGAAAGCUUGCUUUUGAUGGGCGUCGACCGGCGCACGGGUGAGUAACGCGUAUCCAACCUGCCCACCACUUGGGGAUAACCUUGCGAAAGUAAGACUAAUACCCAAUGACGUCUCUAGAAGACAUCUGAAAGAGAUUAAAGAUUUAUCGGUGAUGGAUGGGGAUGCGUCUGAUUAGCUUGUUGGCGGGGUAACGGCCCACCAAGGCGACGAUCAGUAGGGGUUCUGAGAGGAAGGUCCCCCACAUUGGAACUGAGACACGGUCCAAACUCCUACGGGAGGCAGCAGUGAGGAAUAUUGGUCAAUGGACGAGAGUCUGAACCAGCCAAGUAGCGUGCAGGAUGACGGCCCUAUGGGUUGUAAACUGCUUUUAUAAGGGAAUAAAGUGAGUCUCGUGAGACUUUUUGCAUGUACCUUAUGAAUAAGGACCGGCUAAUUCCGUG